rnacentral:rRNA from 1 species
GAAUUUUAUAUAGAUUUAUUUGAUGAUUUAAGAAUUAAUAUAAAUUAAGUUUAUAUUUUGUUGGGAGGAUAAUUAAAUUAAAAAAACUUUAUUUUAAAAUUAGGUCAUUAAUAUAUGAGUAGAGAAUGAAUGGUUAAUAAAUUUAAGAAGAAUUAAUUACCUUAGGGAUAACAGCGUUAUAUCUUUAGAGAGAUCAUAUUAAUAAAGAUGAUUGC